AGCCCACAAAGAUCUCCGCCACGGCACAACCCAAGGGGGGCGCCAACCCAGACAGGAAGACCACGUCAGUGACUCAACACACUCAAGUGACGCACCCCCCCUAGGGACGGCAUGGAAGAACACCAAUAAGCCAGUGACUUAGCCCCUGUAAUAGGGUUAGAGGCAGAGAAUCCCAGUGGAGAGAGGGGAACCAGGCAGAGACAGAAAGGACUGUUCGUUGCUCCAGAAACCUUUCUGUUCACCUUCACACUCCUGGGCCAGACUACACUCAAUCAUAGGAUCCACUGAAGAGAUGAGUCUUCAGUAAAGACUUAAAGGUUGAGACCGAGUCUGCGUCUCUCACAUGGUUAGGCAGACCAUUCCAUAAAAAUGGAACUCUACAGGAGAAUGCCCUGCCUCCAGCUGUUUGCUUAGAAAUUCUAUGGACAAUUAGGAGGCCUGCGUCUUGUGACCGUCAUGUACGUGUAGGUUCUGGAACCAAGGCCAGCACCGCAUAUCCAAACAGAUACCUUUCUGUGAGUCAGUCCCCUUGAAAUACUUUCACAGAUGGUCCUCCCCUUCCUCCUCUGAGGUGCCUCCACUGGCCGAUACAUCUUCAUUCCAGUCUAAUCCCUACGGAGUUGGUUAUACAGCACAAACUGAUCUGAGACCAGGACCUCGAUCCAGCCGGUAUACGUGUUGCACAAUGACACUCUAGUCUAUUCUUUGGAAAAUGAUUAUACAACAAGCCUGUCAUGUCAGCGGAGACACGAGGUGUGGUGAGCCUGCC
rnacentral:lncRNA from 1 species